rnacentral:rRNA from 1 species
AUUGAACGCUGGCGGCAGGCCUAACACAUGCAAGUCGAACGAGUGGCGGACGGGUGAGUAAUGUCUGGGAAACUGCCUGAUGGAGGGGGAUAACUACUGGAAACGGUAGCUAAUACCGCAUACCAUCGGCUUGGCCCAGAUGGGAUUAGCUAGUAGGUGGGGUAAAGGCUCAGCUAGGCGAAGAUCACUAGCUGGUCUGAGAGGAUGACCAGCCACACUGGAACGGAGACACGGUCCAGACUCCUACGGGAGGCAGCAGUGGGGAAUAUUGCACAAUGGGCGCAAGCCUGAUGCAGCCAUGCCGCUUGUAUGAAGAAGGCCUUCGGGUGGUAAAGUACGUUCAUCGGGGAGGCGUUAACCGCAGAAGAAGCACCGGCUAACUCCGUGCCAGCAGCCGCGGUAAUAC